UCGGGAAUUUUGGGCAAUGGGGGAAACCCUGACCCAGCAACGCCGCGUGAAGGAUGAAGUAUUUCGGUAUGUAAACUUCGAAAGAAUAGGAAGAAUAAAUGACGGUACUAUUUAUAAGGUCCGGCUAACUACGUGCCAGCAGCCGCGGUAAUACGUAGGGACCAAGCGUUGUUCGGAUUUACUGGGCGUAAAGGGCGCGUAGGCGGCAUGACAAGUCACUUGUGAAAUCUCUGGGCUUAACCCAGAACGGCCAAGUGAUACUGUCGCGCUAGAGUGCAGAAGGGGCAAUCGGAAUUCUUGGUGUAGCGGUGAAAUGCGUAGAUAUCAAGAGGAACACCUGAGGUGAAGACGGGUUGCUGGGCUGACACUGACGCUGAGGCGCGAAAGCCAGGGGAGCAAACGGGAUUAGAUACN
rnacentral:rRNA from 1 species